AACAAACGCUGGCGGCAUGCCUAACACAUGCAAGUCGAACGAGACCUUCGGGUCUAGUGGCGCACGGGUGCGUAACGCGUGGGAACCUGCCCUUAGGUUCGGAAUAACUCCCCGAAAGGGGUGCUAAUACCGGAUAAUGUCUUCGGACCAAAGAUUUAUCGCCUUUGGAUGGGCCCGCGUUGGAUUAGCUAGUUGGUAGGGUAAAAGCCUACCAAGGCGACGAUCCAUAGCUGGUCUGAGAGGAUGAUCAGCCACACUGGGACUGAGACACGGCCCAGACUCCUACGGGAGGCAGCAGUGGGGAAUAUUGGACAAUGGGCGAAAGCCUGAUCCAGCAAUGCCGCGUGAGUGAUGAAGGCCUUAGGGUUGUAAAGCUCUUUUACCCGGGAUGAUAAUGACAGUACCGGGAGAAUAAGCUCCGGCUAACUCCGUG
rnacentral:rRNA from 1 species